rnacentral:rRNA from 1 species
GAUGAAUGCUGGCGGCGUGCCUAACACAUGCAAGUCGAGCGGCAGCGCGAGUAGUUCACUACUUGGCGGCGAGCGGCGGACGGCUGAGUAACGCGUGGGAACGUGCCCCAAAGUGAGGGAUAACGCACCGAAAGGUGUGCUAAUACCGCAUAUGAUCUUCGGAUUAAAGAAUUUAUUCGCUUUGGGAGCGGCCCGCGUCGGAUUAGGUAGUUGGUAGGGUAGUGGCCUACCAAGCCGACGAUCCGUAGCUGGUCUGAGAGGAUGACCAGCCAGACUGGAACUGAGACACGGUCCAGACUCCUACGGGAGGCAGCAGUGAGGAAUCUUCCACAAUGGGCGAAAGCCUGAUGGAGCAACGCCGCGUGCAGGAUGAAGGCCUUCGGGUUGUAAACUGCUUUUAUAAGUGAAGAAUAUGACGGUAACUUAUGAAUAAGCACCGGCUAACUACGUGCCAGCAGCCGCCGUAA